rnacentral:lncRNA from 12 species
GUAUGGGUGCAGCUUUGAGGGUUGGUCUGAAGGGUCCAGGAGAAGGAAGCUCCCCACAAGUCCAUGGCUGGUGUCUGGGAGGAGGAGCGACAUUCAUUCCAAGGGAUUGGCUCUAGACUUUCCACCUAGUGAGGAAUGGCUCUGGAAAACUCGGCUCUGGGAUGGAGGGUCACUGGGAAUUUUGAUGUGUGGCAGACUGCCAGCUCCAUCCCCUGCUUGGUCUUUGGUGGAGAUCCAAUUUCUGCUUUUUCUUCUUCUUCUUCUUUUUUUUUUUUUUUUUCUUUUCUUUUUUUUCAAGGCUGGUCAAGUGAAACAGCAGGAGUGGAGAAAGAGCUAGGAAAUCUGUAACUGGCAGUGAUCAAUUAAUUGCAAAUUAAUCUCUUAUUUAACAUUUUAAAAAAGAUUUUAUUUAUUUAUUCAUGAGAGAAAUGGAAAGAGAGGCAGAGACAGAGGCAGAGGGAGAAGCAGGCUCCUCGAGGGAAGCCGGAUGCGGGACUUGAUCCUCAGACUCCAGGAACAUGACCUGAGCUGAAGGCAGAUGCUCAACCGCUGAGCCACCCAGGUGUCCUUUAUUUAACAUUUUGAUGAACGUACCCAAAAAGAGGAUUUCGUGAGCAAUGUAUAUGAUAUAAUCUAGGAGAUUUAGACAUUAGGAUAAAAAAGUGAUUAUACAACUUUAACGGACACCAAAAAAAGUUCUGAAUGGUGAUCCAGGAAUUCUUUACAAAUUUCCCAGAUUCUAUGCCCACAUUAAAAAAAAAAAAAAAAAAUCAGGGCGCCUGGCUGGCUCGGUUGGUAAAGUAUGCAACUCUUGAGCUCAGGGUCAUGAGUUCAAGCCCCAUGUUGGACCCAGAGAUUACUUUUUUAAAAAAUGACUAACUUAAUGUUGGAGAACAAAGAGGAAAUAGAUAAAAAUUUAGACUACUAUAUUUUGGGUCAAACACAAGUUCAAAACUUACCAGGAAAUUAAAGGCUAUUUAUUUCUUCAAUGGAAUAAAAAUUUUUAUUUUUAUUUUUAAGUAUUUUAU